GAUGAACGCUGGCGGCGUGCUUAACACAUGCAAGUCGAACGGAAAGGCCCAAGCUUGCUUGGGUACUCGAGUGGCGAACGGGUGAGUAACACGUGGGUGAUCUGCCCUGCACUUCGGGAUAAGCCUGGGAAACUGGGUCUAAUACCGGAUAGGACCACGUCUUGGAUGUUGUGGUGGAAAGUUUUUUCGGUGUGGGAUGAGCUCGCGGCCUAUCAGCUUGUUGGUGGGGUAAUGGCCUACCAAGGCGUCGACGGGUAGCCGGCCUGAGAGGGUGUACGGCCACAUUGGGACUGAGAUACGGCCCAGACUCCUACGGGAGGCAGCAGUGGGGAAUAUUGCACAAUGGGCGCAAGCCUGAUGCAGCGACGCCGCGUGGGGGAUGACGGCCUUCGGGUUGUAAACUCCUGUCGCUAGGGACGAAGCGUUUUUGUGACGGUACCUGGAGAAGAAGCACCGGCUAACUACGUG
rnacentral:rRNA from 1 species